AUGCAGUCGAGCGAAUGGAUUAAGAGCUUGCUCUUAUGAAGUUAGCGGCGGCACGGGUGAGUAACACGUGGGUAACCUGCCCAUAAGACUGGGAUAACUCCGGGAAACCGGGGCUAAUACCGGAUAACAUUUUGAACCGCAUGGUUCGAAAUUGAAAGGCGGCUUCGGCUGUCACUUAUGGAUGGACCCGCGUCGCAUUAGCUAGUUGGUGAGGUAACGGCUCACCAAGGCAACGAUGCGUAGCCGACCUGAGAGGGUGAUCGGCCACACUGGGACUGAGACACGGCCCAGACUCCUACGGGAGGCAGCAGUAGGGAAUCUUCCGCAAUGGACGAAAGUCUGACGGAGCAACGCCGCGUGAGUGAUGAAGGCUUUCGGGUCGUAAAACUCUGUUGUUAGGGAAGAACAAGUGCUAGUUGAAUAAGCUGGCACCUUGACGGUACCUAACCAGAAAGCCACGGCUAACUACGUGCCAGCAGCCGCGGUAAUACGUAGGUGGCAAGCGUUAUCCGGAAUUAUUGGGCGUAAAGCGCGCGCAGGUGGUUUCUUAAGUCUGAUGUGAAAGCCCACGGCUCAACCGUGGAGGGUCAUUGGAAACUGGGAGACUUGAGUGCAGAAGAGGAAAGUGGAAUUCCAUGUGUAGCGGUGAAAUGCGUAGAGAUAUGGAGGAACACCAGUGGCGAAGGCGACUUUCUGGUCUGUAACUGACACUGAGGCGCGAAAGCGUGGGGAGCAAACAGGAUUAGAUACCCUGGUAGUCCACGCCGUAAACGAUGAGUGCUAAGUGUUAGAGGGUUUCCGCCCUUUAGUGCUGAAGUUAACGCAUUAAGCACUCCGCCUGGGGAGUACGGCCGCAAGGCUGAAACUCAAAGGAAUUGACGGGGGGCCCGCACAAGCGGUGGAGCAUGUGGGUUUAAUUCGAAGCAACGCGAAGAAACCUUACCAGGUCUUGACAUCCUCUGACAACCCUAGAGAUAGGGGCUU
rnacentral:rRNA from 2 species